AUUGAACGCUGGCGGCAUGCCUUACACAUGCAAGUCGAACGGCAGCACGGGGGCAACCCUGGUGGCGAGUGGCGAACGGGUGAGUAAUGCAUCGGAACGUGUCCUCUUGUGGGGGAUAACCAGUCGAAAGAUUGGCUAAUACCGCAUGAGAUCGAAAGAUGAAAGCGGGGGACCGCAAGGCCUCGCGCGAGAGGAGCGGCCGAUGCCGGAUUAGCUAGUUGGUGGGGUAAUGGCCCACCAAGGCGACGAUCCGUAGCUGGUCUGAGAGGACGACCAGCCACACUGGGACUGAGACACGGCCCCAGACUCCUACGGGAGGCAGCAGUGGGGAAUUUUGGACAAUGGGCGCAAGCCUGAUCCAGCCAUGCCGCGUGUGUGAAGAAGGCCUCGGGUUGUAAAGCACUUUCGGACGGAACGAAAUCGCGCGCAUGAACAAUGCGCGUGGAUGACGGUACCGUAAGAAGAAGCACCGGCUAACUACGUGCCAGCAGCCGCGGUAAUACGUAGGGUGCAAGCGUUAAUCGGAAUUACUGGGCGUAAAGGGUGCGCAGGCGGCCUCGCAUGUCAGGCGUGAAAUCCCCGGGGCUCAACCUGGGAAUGGCGCUUGAAACUACGGGGCUGGAGUGUGGCAGAGGGAGGUGGAAUUCCACGUGUAGCGGUGAAAUGCGUAGAGAUGUGGAGGAACACCGAUGGCGAAGGCAGCCUCCUGGGCCAACACUGACGCUCAUGCACGAAAGCGUGGGGGAGCAAAA
rnacentral:rRNA from 1 species